CCUACGGGAGGCUGCAGUGAGGAAUAUUGGUCAAUGGACGGAAGUCUGAACCAGCCAUGCAGCGUGCAGGAAGACGGCUCUAUGAGUUGUAAACUGCUUUUGUACAAGGGUAAACCUGAAUACGUGUAUUCAGCUGACAGUACUGUACGAAUAAGGAUCGGCUAACUCCGUGCCAGAAGCCGCGGUAAUACGGAGGAUCCAAGCGUUAUCCGGAUUUAUUGGGUUUAAAGGGUGCGUAGGCGGAUUGAUAAGUUAGAGGUGAAAUGUCCGAGCUCAACUCGGGAACUGCCUCUAAAACUGUUGAUCUAGAGAGUAGAUGCGGUAGGCGGAAUGUAUGGUGUAGCGGGGAAAUGCUUAGAGAUCAUACAGAACACCGAUUGCGAAGGCAGCUUACCAAUCUAUAUCUGACGUUGAGGCACGAAAGCGUGGGGAGCAAACAGGAUUAGAUACCCGAGUAGUC
rnacentral:rRNA from 1 species